rnacentral:rRNA from 1 species
GAAAUGUGAUACUUGGUGUGAAUUGGAGAAUCUUGUGAACCAUCGAGUCUUUGAACUCAAGUUGCGCCNGACGCUAUUAGGUUAAGGGCACGUUUGCCUGGGUGUCACGCAACGUCACCACCGCCCAUCCCACGAGUGCAGUGGAUGAUGGCUUCCUGUGAGCC